AACGAUGUCUACUAGUGUUGGGAGGAGACCUCCUUGGUGACGCAGCUAACGCGUGAAGUAGACCGCCUGGGGAGUACGGUCGCAAGAUUAAACUCAAAGGAAUUGACGGGGGCCCGCACAAGCGGUGGAUUAUGUGGAUUAAUUCGAUGCAACGCGAAAAACCUUACCUGGCCUUGACAUGCCACUAACGAAGCAGAGAUGCAUCAGGUGCUCGAAAGAGAAAGUGGACACAGGUGCUGCAUGGCUGUCGUCAGCUCGUG
rnacentral:rRNA from 1 species